UGACAUCUCCUUAAUCGGAGAGUUCCCUUCGGGGACAUUGGUGACAGGUGGUGCAUGGUUGUCGUCAGCUCGUGUCGUGAGAUGUUGGGUUAAGUCCCGCAACGAGCGCAACCCUUGUCUUUAGUUGCCAUCAUUAAGUUGGGCACUCUAGAGAGACUGCCAGGGAUAACCUGGAGGAAGGUGGGGAUGACGUCAAAUCAUCAUGCCCCUUAUGCUUAGGGCUACACACGUGCUACAAUGGGUAGUACAGAGGGUUGCCAAGCCGUAAGGUGGAGCUAAUCCCUUAAAGCUACUCUCAGUUCGGAUUGUAGGCUGAAACUCGCCUACAUGAAGCUGGAGUUACUAGUAAUCGCAGAUCAGAAUGCUGCGGUGAAUGCGUUCCCGGGUCUUGUACACACCGCCCGUCACACCACGGGAGUUGGAGACGCCCGAAGCCGAUUAUCUAACCUUUUGGAAGAAGUCGUCGAAGGUGGAAUCAAUAACUGGGGUGAAGUCGUAACAAGGUAGCCGUAUCGGAAGGUGCGGCUGGAUC
rnacentral:rRNA from 1 species